UACGUAGGUGGCUAGCGUUGUCCGGAUUUACUGGGCGUAAAGAGCGCGCAGGCGGUCGUUCAAGUCGAGUGUGAAAGCCCCCCGGCUCAACUGGGGAGGGUCACUCGAUACUGAUCGACUCGAAGGCAGGAGAGGGAAGUGGAAUUCCCGGUGUAGUGGUGAAAUGCGUAGAUAUCGUUUGGAAACGCCAAUGGUGAAAACAGGUUGCUGGGAGUGCGCUGACGCUGAGACACGAAAGCCAGGGGAGCGAACGGG
rnacentral:rRNA from 1 species